GACACUGACAGUCCGCCUCCAGUGUGACUCGUUUGUCCAGAUGAUACUUCCAGACUCUGUUCAUCAUCUGCUGAAAAGAUGGCGACCCAAGCCAGUGUGGUCCCCGGAGCCCCAUGGCAAAUUCCGUGUUGUCUGCUGGCACGUCUGCCCGUGGACUCACAGACUCAGGUGAGACAAGUGGAGCAUCAUCAUCAGAAGGAAGGCAGCUGACAGUCCACUUCCAGUAUGACUCUUUUCUCCAGAUGACACUUCCGUGCGACCCAAGCCAGUGUGGUCCCCGGAAACCCAUGGUGAAUUCCGUAUUGUCUGAUGGCACGUCUGACCCGUGGACUCACAGACUCAGCACAGGGCUCCCACUGUGAGCCUGAGGGUUCCCAGAACACGGUUGGUCACGGGGCUCGGAGGAGGAGCAGUGACGGAACCUGGUGCUGGCAGGUGCACGGUCUCAACCUCUCACGGAUCGCCCGGGACACAUGUGGUUUGUAUUCUUGUUCAUGGUCAUGUGAGGACACCUGGUGGCUGAGGGUAGAAGGGAAGAUGAGACUUCCCAGUAAUGAGGUGUUUGCUUCCACCAGGACCCUGCUGAUGGUGGAUUUGUAUUUGUGCUUUCUUUUUUGUUGUUGUUGUUUUUUAGUAUAUUCAAGCACGAGGAACCAAAACAAAAGAUAAUCAGGAGAAAAUGUAGUUUGCCUUAUAUUAUUGUACUCAGGCCCAUAAAGUAGAGACAUGCAUGAGAUAUCAGUUGAACACAGGACACAAAGAAGACGGAAGGAUGCGAGUGGUGACAGUGACCCGACCAGUGACUCUCUGACUCUUGAGCUACAACAUACAGGACAGAGCUGGCCGCCAGCAGGGCAGCCGGACACAGCGUCCUAGGCGGUGGCUCAGCAAGGGGCUGCUCCAGGGGGGACCCGCCCCAGUCCAUGUGCUCUGUCAGCUGUCCCAUCGCCCACACAGCUCCACCCUAACUGAGUCUGGAGACCUCCCAGCUCAGGCCACACGGUGAGGACCGUGUUCCACUGGACGGACCUCACCCCCACUCUGCUCUGGCCUCUCGCAGAUCCGGGACCCGGUGGAACCAGUGCCCCAGGCCCUUGGCCACCUUAACUGCAGGCAUAAUUCAAACAUUCACUUCUGGUGUUCACAGUCUCAACCUGCACACAUUUCCUUCUGUUACAGGUCUUUCCCUCACUGGCUGCUGAAGCAAGAAUCAUGAGAGUCACUGAUGAAUUUUUCUGCUCCUCCCGGCCCCAUGUGGAAACUGUCACCAAAGCCACCAUAGAUACCUCACCUGCCCCAAUAUUCCUCAUGUUUCUCUACCACCUUCUUGUCCACUCUGACCACGAGUCCACAUUGUCUUUUCUACACGGACCUGGACGGGUCUCACCUUCCAAGGGGAUUAAGUUCCUACUGUUGCUGUAACAAAUUACCACAUACUUAGUGGCUUAAAACAACACAAUUUGUUAAUCUUAAUGUUUUUUAUUUU